GUCUUCUUGUUAUAUUUAGGAAGUCUGGCCUGCCCAGUGAAAAUUAAUUUAACGGCCGCGGUAUACUGACCGUGCAAAGGUAGCAUAAUCAUUAGUCUUUUAAUAGAGGGCUGGUAUGAAGGGUUUAACGAGGUGUUGACUGUCUCAUUUAAUUUGGAUAUUAGAAUUUAAUUUUUUAGUUAAAAAGCUAAAAUAUUAUUGGAAGACGAGAAGACCCUAUAGAGCUUUAUACUUUUAUUAUUAAUUUAUUAUAGAUUAUUAUUAUUUAUUAUUAAUAAAAAGUAUUUUGUUGGGGUGACAAAAAUAUAUAAGCAACUUUUUUAUUUAAUUUACAUUGAUAUAUGAAUAUUAGAUCCAAUCUUAUUGAUUGUUAGAUUAAGUUACCUUAGGGAUAACAGCGUAAUCCCUCUCCAGAGUUCAUAUUUACAGAGGGGCUUGCGACCUCGAUGUUGGAUUAAGAUAAUAAUUAGGUGCAGCCGCUUAAUUAAUAGGUCUGUUCGACCUUUAAAUUCUU
rnacentral:rRNA from 1 species